GCCCACCUACUGCAACUAAUCAAGCCCACCCACCCUGAAGAUCAUGCUCUACGAGAGAAGUCACUGCAGUGUGAGGUCCACACGCCGCAGCCAGAGAGUAGCCCCCGCUCUCCGCAGCUAGAGAAAGCUCGAGCGCAGCAACAAAGACCUAAAAUUUAUAUUCUAAAAAAAGAAAACCAAGAAGGGACAGUGAAGGCCCUGAGGAUUAGCAUCAGAGGACAGCAAUGACCUCCGUAGGCCUGAAGACAAAGGAAGAAGCUGACGCAGAGCCCAGGGAAGGCUGUGGAUGCAGGAGGACGUGGUUGGCCCAAGCAAGGGAAGAGAAGCUCGGCCUUGGCCAGACUCUGCACUGCAAGUCCUUUCCCAGACUAUGCUGGACGUUCCAUGACGGCAGGGAUUUUCAUUCACGGUCCUCACUGCACAGCCCUGGCACACAGUGGAUGCUUUCUACAAAUAUGUUAACUGAAGGAACGAAGUCUCCCUUCUGGGCACAGCACCCCCGAUUGUCCUUUGGAGAACCUCCGUCCUGCACUCUCUACUCACAAGCUGUGAAUGAGGGAAGCCCACACCCAUUGCACAGGGGCCCAUUACCCAGGCUUGGCAGUCCGCAUAUCCAAGACCACAGGCUACACCUGGGCAGGUGGUACCCACACAAGGGGCUGAAAUCCCCGCCCCUCAAGCCCGAGUCCUGGCACAAGACUUGCUUCUCCCAAGAGAAAGGGGCACCCUUCCUAACUGACACAGAAGCACCUCAGGGGGCAGCCCUGGCCAGGAGCAAAUCUCGUCACCUUGACCCCAGUGUUUGGGUCAGAGAUGGGCAUGUAAUCAGACUGGUCCAACCAGGUGAAUCCUAGAAAUCCGCAGGUGCCACCGUUACUGGCAAAGCCUAUUAACAAUUCUUGGGAAAUAAAACUAGAAAUAGAAAUCUGGGUAAUAAAGUCUAACCUUUUUCUUUUCCUUGGUGCUUCAUCUGGUUUUGCUUGCUCACAGGAUGCCUCACAACUCGCCCUUCAGACCAGAGCUCCCGGUAGGAAAGGGCUGCGUGGGCACCCCAGCCCCAUGGUGUGCGGGAGCACCACCCACGAUACUCAAUCCAAGAUGGCGGCGGAGGGCCAUGUGCAGAGAUGCUCCGACUCUGCGACCCCAUGGACUGCAGCAUGCCAGGCUCCUCUGUCAUCCACUAUUUCCUGGAGUUUGCUCAAAUUCUUGUCCAUUGAGUCGGUGAUGCUAUCUAACCAUCUCAUCCUCCACCGCCAUCUUCUUUUGCCUUCAAUCUCUCCCAGCAAAAGCGUCUUUUCCAAUGAGUCGGCUCUUGGCAUCGGGUGGCCAAAGCAUUGGAGUUUCAGCUUCAGGAACAGUCUUUGCAAUGAACAUUCAGGGUUGAUCUCCUUUAGGAUUGAUUGGUUUGAUCUCCAUGCAGUCCAACGACCUCUAAAGAGUCUUCUCUGACACCACAGUGCAAAGCAUCAAUAUUUCGGUCCUCAGCCUUCUUUAUAGACCAACUCUCACAUCUGUACAUGACUACUGGUAAAACCAUAGCUUUGACUAGACGGACCUCUGUCCUCCCCACUAACAAGACGCUAUAAAGCAGCCUUGCCCAUGGCCUAUGAGGGGUGGAGCAUGGGCUUUAGAGUGGGACUGCACACCCUUCCAUUCUUUAAUCAAAAAAUAAAGCUUUCCUUUGCUU
ensembl:lncRNA